rnacentral:rRNA from 1 species
AUUGAACGCUGGCGGCAGGCCUAACACAUGCAAGUCGAACGAGUGGCGGAAGGGUGAGUAAUGUCUGGGAAACUGCCUGAUGGAGGGGGAUAACUGCUGGAAACGGUAGCUAAUACCGCAUACCAUCGGAUGUGCCCAGAUGGGAUUAGCUAGUAGGUGGGGUAAAGGCUACCCUAGGCGACGAUCCCUAGCUGGUCUGAGAGGAUGACCAGCAACACUGGAACUGAGACACGGGCCAGACGCCUACGGGAUGCAUCAGUGGGUAAUCUUUCACAAUGGGCGCAAGCCUUAUGCAGCCAUGCCGAGUUGAUUAAGAAUGCCUUCGGGUUUUAAAGUACUGUCAUUGGAGAGGCGUUACCCGCAGAAGAAGCACCGGCUAACUCCGUGCCAGCAGCCGCGGUAAUUC